rnacentral:rRNA from 1 species
CUCAGAAUGAACGUUGGCGGCGUGGAUUAGGCAUGCAAGUCGAGCGAGAAGUGAAUUGUUGAAGCCUCGGUGGAUUCAAUUCACAGAAAGCGGCAAACGGCGUAGUGAUACGUAGGUACGUACCCUCAAGUUGGGAAUAGCCACGGGAAACUGUGGGUAAUGCCCAAUAAUCUCUGCGGAGCAAAGGUGUGAUUCCGCUUGAGGAGCGGCUUACGCGAUAUUAGCUUGUUGGUGGGGUAAUGGCCUACCAAGGCUACGAUGUCUAGGGGGUGUGAGAGCAUGGCCCCCACGACCGGAACUGAGACACUGUCCGGACACCUACGGGUGGCUGCAGUCGAGAAUCUUCCGCAAUGGGCGAAAGCCUGACGGAGCGACGCCGCGUGCGGGAUGAAGGCCCUUGGGUUGUAAACCGCUGUCAGAGGGGAUGAAAUCAUGGUGGGCAAUCCUUCCAUGUUGACAGAGCCUCAGAGGAAGCACGGGCUAAGUACGUGCCAGCAGCCGCGGUAACACGUACUGUGCAAACGUUAUUCGGAAUCACUGGGCUUAAAGGGUAUGUAGGCGGUUUAUCAAGUCAGAUGUGAAAUGCCACAGCUCAGCUGUGGCACUGCGUUUGAAACUGAUUGACUAGAGUAUUCCAGAGGUAUGCGGAACUGCCAGUGGAGCGGUGAAAUGCGUUGAUAUUGGCAGGAACACCAGAGGCGAAGGCGGCAUACUGGGGGAUAACUGACGCUGAGAUACGAAAGCCAGGGUAGCGAACGGGAUUAGAUACCCCGGUAGUCCUGGCUGUAAACGAUGAGUACUGGGCGAGAGGCGAUUCGUCGCUUUUUGCCGUAGGGAAACCAUUAAGUACUCCGCCUGGGGAGUAUGGUCGCAAGGCAA